AGUAAUGCAUAGGAAUCUGCCCGGUAGUGGGGGAUAACCUGGGGAAACCCAGGCUAAUACCGCAUACGUCCUACGGGAGAAAGCAGGGGAUCUUCGGACCUUGCGCUAUCGGAUGAGCCUAUGUCGGAUUAUCUUGUUGGUGAGGUAAUGGCUCACCAAGGCGACAAUCCGUAGCUGGUCUGAGAGGAUGAUCAGCCACAUCGGGACUGAGACACGGCCCGAACUCCUACGGGAGGCAGCAGUGGGGAAUAUUGGACAAUGGGCGAAAGCCUGAUCCAGCCAUGCCGCGUGUGUGAAAAAAGCUUUCGGGUUGUAAAGCACUUUCAGUGAGGAAGAAGGCCUUGGGGCUAAUACCCCCGAGGAAGGACAUCACUCACAGCGG
rnacentral:rRNA from 1 species